rnacentral:rRNA from 1 species
ACAGGGAUUGCCCUAGUAACGGCGAGUGAAGCGGCAACAGCUCAAAUUUGAAAUCUGGCGUCUUUGGCGUCCGAGUUGUAAUUUGCAGAGGGCGCUUUGGCAUUGGCAGCGGUCCAAGUUCCUUGGAACAGGACGUCACAGAGGGUGAGAAUCCCGUACGUGGUCGCUAGCCUUUACCGUGUAAAGCCCUUUCGACGAGUCGAGUUGUUUGGGAAUGCAGCUCUAAAUGGGAGGUAAAUUUCUUCUAAAGCUAAAUACUGGCCAGAGACCGAUAGCGCACAAGUAGAGUGAUCGAAAGAUGAAAAGCACUUUGGAAAGAGAGUUAAAAAGCACGUGAAAUUGUUGAAAGGGAAGCGCUUGCAGCCAGACUUGCCUGUAGUUGCUCAUCCGGGUUUUUACCCGGUGCACUCUUCUAUAGGCAGGCCAGCAUCAGUUUGGGCGGUUGGAUAAAGGUCUCUGUCAUGUACCUCUCUUCGGGGAGAACUUAUAGGGGAGACGACAUGCAACCAGCCUGGACUGAGGUCCGCGCAUCUGCUAGGAUGCUGGCGUAAUGGCUGUAAGCGGCCCGUCUUGAAACACGGACCAAGGAGUCUAACAUCUAUGCGAGUGUUUGGGUGUCAAGCCCGAGCGCGUAAUGAAAGUGAACGGAGGUGGGAACCCCUCGGGGUGCACCAUCGACCGAUCCUGAUGUCUUCGGAUGGAUUUGAGUAAGAGCAUAGCUGUUGGGACCCGAAAGAUGGUGAACUAUGCUUGAAUAGGGUGAAGCCAGAGGAAACUCUGGUGGAGGCUCGCAGCGGUUCUGACGUGCAAAUCGAUCGUCAAAUUUGGGCAUAGGGGCGAAAGACUAAUCGAAC